GCUGGUAUAGCUCAGCUGGUAGAGCAACGCAUUCGUAAUGCGUGGGUCGCAGGUUCAAAUCCUGUUACCAGCUCCA
rnacentral:tRNA from 1 species